rnacentral:lncRNA from 1 species
UGGGCUGAAAGCUCAUUGAAGAGGGCCACGUCACUCAACCAAUCAACCUCCGGGAAGGUCUGGAUGAGUGAGAUCACAGAGAUUGCAGGUUGUUUUUCACAGGAGAAGGCAGCUCUCCAGCACUGCUAAUGGAUGACAUCACCACCUUGGAAACUCUCAUGGCUGUUGUGUGAUGUUGGAGUACAUUUAGACUACUAAGUUCCCCCUA